rnacentral:rRNA from 1 species
CCUUGCCAGCCCGCUCAGAAACUUAAAUGAAUUGACGGGGGCCCGCACAAGCGGUGGAGCAUGUGGUUUAAUUCGAUGAUACGCGAGGAACCUUACCUGGGCUCGAACGUAAGAUGACUGUAGGUGAAAGCUUACAUCUCUUCGGAGCAUUUUACGAGGUGCUGCAUGGUUGUCGUCAGCUCGUGCCGUGAGGUGUCGGGUUAAGUCCCAUAACGAGCGCAACCCCUACCUUUAGUUGCCAUCAGGUUAAGCUGGGGACUCUAAAGGAACUGCCUACGCAAGUAGUGAGGAAGGCGGGGAUGACGUCAAAUCAGCACGGCCCUUACGUCCAGGGCUACACACGUGCUACAAUGGCCGAUACAGAGGGCAGCUACCUGGUGACAGGAUGCAAAUCUCCAAAGUCGGUCUCAGUUCGGAUCGGAGUCUGCAACCCGACUCCGUGAAGUUGGAUUCGCUAGUAAUCGCGCAUCAGCCAUGGCGCGGUGAAUACGUUCCCGGGCCUU